UACAGAGGGUGCAAGCGUUGUCCGGAAUUACUGGGCGUAAAGGGCGCGUAGGCGGCUUGAUAAGUAGGAGGUGAAAUCUCACGGCUCAACCGUGAAACUGCCUUCUAAACUGUCAGGCUUGAGCACGGUAGAGGCAGAUGGAAUUCCCGGUGUAGCGGUGGAAUGCGUAGAGAUCGGGAAGAACACCAGUGGCGAAGGCGGUCUGCUGGGCCGUUGCUGACGCUGAUGCGCGACA
rnacentral:rRNA from 1 species